AUUCACGGCCUAUCAGCUUGUUGGUGAGGUAAUGGCUCACCAAGGCAUCGACGGGUAGCUGGUCUGAGAGGAUGAUCAGCCACACUGGGACUGAGACACGGCCCAGACUCCUACGGGAGGCAGCAGUGGGGAAUAUUGCACAAUGGGCGCAAGCCUGAUGCAGCAACGCCGCGUGCGGGAAGAAGGCCCUAGGGUUGUAAACCGCUUUCAGCAGGGAAGAAAAUGACGGUACCUGCAGAAGAAGGUGCGGCCAACUACGUGCCAGCAGCCGCGGUGACACGUAGGCACCAAGCGUUGUCCGGAUUUAUUGGGCGUAAAGAGCUCGUAGGCGGUUUUGUAAGUCGGGUGUGAAAACUCUGGGCUCAACCCAGAGAGGCCACUCGAUACUGCAAUGACUUGAGUACGGUAGGGGAGCGGGGAAUUCCCGGUGUAGCGGUGAAAUGCGCAGAUAUCAGGAGGAACACCAGUGGCGAAGGCGCCGCUCUGGGCCGUAACUGGCGCUGAGGAGCGAAAGCAUGGGUAGCAAACAGGAUUAGAUACCCUAGUAGUCCAUGCCGUAAACGUUGGGCACUAGGGGUGGGCCUCAACCAACGAGAUCCGCGCCGUCGCUAACGCAUUAAGUGCCCCGCCUGGGGAGUACGGAAUCGGUCAACCCCGCCAGGCGC
rnacentral:rRNA from 1 species